UACGGGGGGGGCAAGCGUUGUUCGGAAUUACUGGGCGUAAAGGGUUCGUAGGCGGCUAACUAAGUCAGACGUGAAAUCCCUCGGCUUAACCGGGGAACAGCGCUUGAGACUGGCACGCUCGAGUUCGGGAGAGGAUGGUGGAAUUCCCAGUGUAGAGGUGAAAUUCGUAGAUAUUGGGAGGAACACCGAUGGCGAAGGCAGCCAUCUGGACCGACACUGACGCUGAGGCGCGAAAGCGUGGGGAGCAAACAGG
rnacentral:rRNA from 1 species